UGCCUUUAGCAUAAAGUAUUAAAGGUAACGCCUGCCCAGUGAUUUAAUUAAACGGCCGCGGGAUCCUCCACCGUGCAAAGGUAGCAUAAUCACUUGUCCCCUAAAUAGUGACUAGUAUGAACGGCCAAAUGAAGAUUUUACUGUCUCUUAUAGUCAAUCUAUGAAACUAAUCUAUCAGUACAAAAACUGAUAUUUUUACAUAAGACGAAAAGACCCUGUGGAACUUUAAGCACAAAUCACCUAAUGACACGACUGCUUUUAGUUGGGGCAACUUUGGAAAUAAACAAAACUUCCAAUUCCUGAUAUUAGAUAAACAUAUCAACAUCUAAACUUAUGACCCAGCUCAUGCUGACCAAAGAACCAAGCUACCCCAGGGAUAACAGCGCCAUCCCCUCCUAGAGCCCAAAUCGACGAGCGGGGUUUACGACCUCGAUGUUGGAUCAGGGCCCCCAAACAGUGCAACAGCUGUUAAUGGUUUGUUUGUUCAACAAUCAA
rnacentral:rRNA from 1 species